GCCGCCGCAACACAAUUUCGCCUCAAGCCUUGGCCCUCCGCCGGACCUCCGAUUCGAGCGCGGCUGGGCUUCAUCGGCGAAGCUUCGAAGGUAAACCCCUCACCCUUCUUUUGUAUUAUUUUUUUAAAUGAAAUAAAAAGAAUAAAAGCCUAUAUUAAAAAAUGGUUCACCUUAAAAACGUAGGUGUUUCUUUCAAUUUCCUUGUGUAUUUUCGUUAAUGCAAUCUCCGUCCCUUAUUUUACAGAUUUAAUGGCCUUUUAUAGGCCGAAAAGGAAAAAAAUAAAAUAAAUAAAUCAUAUAUUUUGCUUGUUUUUCUCAUCCGGACUCUUUGAGUCCGUAUUUGCAGGUGAAAGUGGAGCAAAUGGCGCUCGUGGGGUGGUCGACUCCGUGACGUGCAGCGCCUGGGAUCUGCUGGCGGCGUCGGGGCAGACAUUCGGCUAGGGUUCUUUUUGUUUUUUGUUUUGCUUUGGGCCAGGGCUAUUUUGAGCCACUUAUUUGUUGGGUUAAUACUAUUUUCUUUUUUUGUUUUUAAACCCAGGCCGAUUGGGCCUUAUUAC
rnacentral:lncRNA from 1 species